CCAAAGAGCAUCAAUAGAGUUCGAUGCAGUGAUAAAUUCUAAUUACUCAACCCAAAAGACACUGGAGCUGGCGGUAUAUCUUUCCGUGCUCACUAGUCCGAUGGCAGCUUUUCAUCAACUCCGGAUUACACUAUAUCGUGCUUUCCGGUAAAAAAAUUGAAAGCAAUCCCACGCACAAAGGCUGCGUUACACAUCAGUUGGGCGCUCAGGUCGGCAGACAAAUAUUCCGAUUUCCCGAGGCAAUGGUCAGAGAUGUAAUUGAUCGCACCGAGUAUUGCAAAUACUACAACGAAAUCCCAGACAAGCACCUCGUAUUAUGACCGAUAGAAGCAGCAAUGUUUUGUUCAAGUUUUGAAGUCGGACACGAUGAACAAUAAUGCGAGGUUAAUUUUAAAUAAAUUAACACAAAUCUA